AAAAUGAAAAUUAGAAAAAAAAAAAGGAUAACAAAAUCAAUCACUUGAAAGGACAAUUAGAAUGAAACUGGACAUUCAUUUAUUAUCCUACAAAUUUGAAGUGCUUUUAAUGAACUGAACUGUGAAUUUGUUAACAGCAAGAAGCUACUUUCGUUUGCAAGAAAAGUGUACAUGGUUUGCUACACACAACAGAAGUAAUUUACUGUGUUUAGUUUUGAAGUACAUCUAAGCAAAGCAAUUUAAAACUAUAGUUCACUAUGAUCAUGUGGCAGAGUAAAAUUUCCCGGUGCAUUCAAGAACUGCUGAUCCAAAAGCUUAAACUCAAAUGUGAAGGCAGAAUUGAAGUUAUGAUAGUUUAAACUUUUGAAGCAGUGUUCGUUAAACAUAAAGACUCAUAAUUAUAUUUCCAUAUUUAUGGAUCCUUGGCUCCUAGUAGCACUGUGGAGGAAGAAAUAGUUCAAUUGCAUCUACAUUAAUGAAGAAGAACAGGUUAUUCCUUGUUUUGAAGCAAAUUAUACUAACCCAUCCAUUAUUGCAGCAGUAUCAAAGACACCAUGCCCCCUAUGCACCAUAUGAUCAUCCAUGGGUAUCACCAUAGCUGCUGGAUCUGUUGUUAUUCCACCAAAAAUGCUAGAGUACAUUGCCAGGAAUUGCUGCUUCCCUUUGUGCUUUUCUCUGUUAGUUCUUAGUCUUUCAAU
rnacentral:misc_RNA from 1 species